AAGGCUAUGCUUUCAGGGAUCAUUUCUCUAGUGGGUGACUGGAGAAGGGUGGUUGUAAAAGCCUGGUCUCGCUAACCACGAUGAGGAACUGUAGUGUUUCUUUCUGAGCAUGACGCUGGCGGAGAGCGCUGUUCUGCAGCAGUUGCUUUCUGUUGUGGAAGAGUGUCUUGCCCUUCUGGAGAGGAGCAGGGGGAAGAAACACAGUCUGAGUGGU
ensembl:snoRNA U3 Small nucleolar RNA U3